UCCCCCACACCAUCUAGCUGCCCAGAUAUCAUAAAAGAAGGGCCAGAUACCAGUGUUCCAAGUUCUGAUCAAGUUGGGCAACAAACCGAUAAAUGAGCAUCCUUUGAUAAGCUUAUCUAGGAACCUUUGAGUUUGGAAAAGUUUGGAAGAUCUAGGAAGCCUGUGAGCAGGGGAGCUAUGGCAUCUCUGGAGAUCAGCAGCAGCAGUUAGAAAGGAAAACUUCUUCAUCAGAGAGGUCAGUCUCUGGAAAGAAGAUCAAGCUCGUCUCAUGAUCACUCAGUCAAUUAAAAGUGGACAUUGUACUAAGUGCGUGCUUGGGAUAUGAAGAAACAAAGAAAAUGGCCCAUACUCUCAAAGUUUAAUGGAGGAGACAACACGCAAAUAACAAUGCAUAAACAAGAUGUAUGUAAGAUAAAGUGGAAUAAUCAAUAAAGGGAAGGCACUAGCCUUAGGACAAUUAGAAAAGACUUCUGGAAGAAAAUGAGGUUUUAACUAGGAUUUGAAGGAAAAACCAGAGAAGUCAGGCAAGGUAAACUAUAGAAUACCUGAUUAGCGAUCUUGCCAAAUUGUUUUAUGUUCUAAUGAGCCUUAAAUGGUAUCCACCCAGCUGCAACUUGCAACUGCAGUUAUAACUUAAAUCAUUGAAUCCUGUUUGUUCUGUUAAUUAUGUUCAUGUGUACUAUGUUUAGCAUUUCUUCCUGUGUAGGAAUAAAAUACUUGUCUCAUAA